UAUAAAGUGGCGAACGGCUGAGUAACACGUGGGCAACCUGCCCUUUGCACUGGGAUAGCCUCGGGAAACCGAGGUUAAUACCGGAUACUCCAUAUUUGUGCAUGGCGAAUAUGGGAAAGCUCCGGCGGCAAAGGAUGGGCCCGCGGCCUGUUAGCUAGUUGGUGGGGUAGUGGCCUACCAAGGCAAUGAUGGGUAGCCGGGUUGAGAGACCGACCGGCCAGAUUGGGACUGAGACACGGCCCAGACUCCUACGGGAGGCAGCAGGC
rnacentral:rRNA from 1 species